rnacentral:RNase_P_RNA from 1 species
UCGGGGAGCCGGGCAGCCGCGGGGUCGCAAGACCGCGAGGAAAGUCCGGGCUCCACGAAACAAGGGUGGCGGGUAACGCCCGCCGGGCGAGGAAGGCUUCCAGGCCUUCCGAAGCCUAGGGAAAGUGCCACAGAGAGCAGACCGCCGAUGCUUCCUCAGGGAAGCAGGUAAGGGUGAAAGGGUGCGGUAAGAGCGCACCGCGCUUCCGGUAACGGAAAGCGGCUUGGCAAACCCCACUCGGAGCAAGACCGAAUAGGGGCUGCGCGCCGGCGUCGCGAAAGCGGGGGAUCGGCGGGUUCGUUUCGGACCCAGGCAGCCCGGGUUGGUCGCUUGAGCGAUGCAGCGAUGCAUCGCCUAGAGGAAUGGCUGCCGCCGCGGCGUAAGGUCCCUCGGGCUUCGGCCUUCAUGGGGAGACCACGCCAGGUACAGAACCCGGCUUACAGGCUCCCCGGCGCA